rnacentral:rRNA from 1 species
AAUGAACGUUGGCGGCGUGGAUUAGGCAUGCAAGUCGUGCGCGAUGAGUUUGGUGCUUGCAUUAAACUCUGAAAGCGGCGAAAGGGAGAGUAACGCGUGGAUCAUCUACCCUCGGGUCUGGGAUAGCUGCGGGAAACUGCAGGUAAUACCGGAUGAUGUCCCUGGACCAAAGGUGCAAUUCCGCCUGAGGAUGAGUCCGCGUCCUAUUAGCUAGUUGGUGGGGUAACAGCCCACCAAGGCAAAGAUGGGUACCGGGUGUGAGAGCAUGGCCCGGCUCACUGGGACUGAGACACUGCCCAGACACCUACGGGUGGCUGCAGUCGAGAAUCUUCCGCAAUGGACGAAAGUCUGACGGAGCGACGCCGCGUGCGGGAUGAAGGCCUCGGUGUAACGACUGUCAGAAGGAGGAAAGUACAUAAGGGUUCUACGUCUUAUGUUUGUACCGA